AAAAAAGAAACCCGAAAAAUGACGAAGUUCUGGAUUCUUCUGGCCGCCGCGAGCCUUUCACGUCCUCAGUAGCUUCGCCGCUGGCCGCCAGCUCCGUCGGUGGCCAGUUGGCCACUGCCGGUCUUCCAUCUCCGAUCACGGACGACGCAAGGAGCUCGAACCUAGAUCCUCUCGAUUUCCUCUCUCGUCUGAGCAACAUCGAGAGUUGUGCGAGCAGGCUGGUGGAUUCAUCGGUGCAAAUACUUCUUCGAGAUCGGAGACAGAAGCUCGAGGCCCACGACUGAGUGUUCCGUCCGCCGUUGGCGUCGAACUGCGAAGAGGCUCAUGUCGCCGAGUUCGACAAUCAACUUCGGCUCCAUUUCAAUCGCCGUGGAGCAAGGCCCGUGUAAGUGGGGCUACAUUCUCGAUUGGCUUCUUUUUAGUGGGUACCAUAGUAUUUCACCUAGAGGCCUAGAACAAUGGCACAUGCUUCCGGUAUCAUUUCCAUUGCCUACUGAACAUGCUGGAUUAAGGGCUAUACCUGCAGUACGUGCUCACCAUAUGUCACAGGUCUUCUUCGUCGUUCUCAAUUGCCAGAAAUCAGCCGUGGCUGUCGAUCUCCACCGCACCCACCACGGCGCCAAAACUCCUCUUUUCUGCCCUGUUUUCUGGCUGGGAAGUUUGAAGUAGUUGGUUCUCAUUCAGAACUCCUUUGCAGGCGCUGAUCCUCAUUGCGAACACGUCUAAGGCCUUCAUUCUCCGAUAUGCACACUGGCCGAGGCUAGAAAUCCAAUGAACCAACAGAAUCAAGAUCAGAAGCCAAGUCUGCAAUAUUGAGAAGUCAAUCACAGGAGGUGAAGUCCUCGACAAUUAUAGAUGUGGAUCACCAGAAGGCAGUCAAGAAGCAAAAAGAGCUGAAGAAAUUGAUAACUCAUGGAUAAUGAGUUUCAUCAACGGUGGAGAUCAUACAGAUGUCAAAGACACGGAUUACCAAAGUCUCAAGAUUGCUGCGGAUUACCAAAGUCUCAAGAUUGCUGUUCUGUUUUGCUUAGCUGUAAAGUUUGUUAGCGAAAGUUAGUUAGUUCGUUUUUCUAGUUGUUAGUCCUCUGUUUUCCGCAUAUAUACAGAGAGGUAUUGUAAUCGGUUGACGACUAUGGAGAACAUCUUCUUUUGUUCAGAAAGUUUU